rnacentral:rRNA from 1 species
AGAGUUUGAUCCUGGCUCAGGACGAACGCUGGCGGCGUGCUUAACACACGCAAGUCGAGCGGAAAGGCCCUUCGGGGUACUCGAGCGGCGAACGGGUGAGUAACACGUGAGCAACCUGCCCUUGGCUUUGGGAUAACCCUCGGAAACGGGGGCUAAUACCGAAUAUCCAUCUUCGAUCGCAUGGUGGUUGGUGGAAAGUUUUUCGGCCAGGGAUGGGCUCGCGGCCUAUCAGCUUGUUGGUGGGGUGAUGGCCUACCAAGGCGACGACGGGUAGCCGGCCUGAGAGGGCGACCGGCCACACUGGGACUGAGACACGGCCCAGACUCCUACGGGAGGCAGCAGUGGGGAAUAUUGCACAAUGGGCGAAAGCCUGAUGCAGCGACGCCGCGUGAGGGAUGACGGCCUUCGGGUUGUAAACCUCUUUCAGCAGGGACGAAGCGAAAGUGACGGUACCUGCAGAAGAAGCGCCGGCCAACUACGUGCCAGCAGCCGCGGUAAUAC